CCUACGGGAGGCAGCAGUGGGGAAUAUUGGACAAUGGGCGAAAGCCUGAUCCAGCCAUGCCGCGUGUGUGAAGAAGGCCUUCGGGUUGUAAAGCACUUUCAGUGGGGAAGAAAGCCUUGGGGCUAAUACCCUCGAGGAAGGACAUCACCCACAGAAGAAGCACCGGCUAACUCCGUGCCAGCAGCCGCGGUAAUACGGAGGGUGCGGGCGUUAAUCGGAAUUACUGGGCGUAAAGCGCGCGUAGGCGGUCUGAUAAGCCGGUUGUGAAAGCCCCGGGCUCAACCUGGGAACGGCAUCCGGAACUGUCAGGGUAGAGUGCAGGAGAGGAAGGUAGAAUUCCCGGUGUAGCGGUGAACUGCGUAGAGAUCGGGAGGAAUACCAGUGGCGAAGGCGGCCUUCUGGACUGACACUGACGCUGAGGUGCGAAAGCGUGGGUAGCAAACAGGAUUAGAUACCCGUGUAGCC
rnacentral:rRNA from 1 species